UUUUAGCCGCGAUGGAAAUGGAAAUCCUUUUCUUUUUUUCUUUAAAAAAGAAAAGAUUGGAGUGUACAGCGGGAACAGCU
rnacentral:sRNA from 2 species